rnacentral:rRNA from 1 species
GACGAACGCUGGCGGCGGGCUUAACACAUGCAAGUCGAACGGAAAGGCCCUGCUUUUGUGGGGUGCUCGAGUGGCGAACGGGUGAGUAACACGUGAGUAACCUGCCCUAGACUUUGGGAUAACUUCAGGAAACUGGGGCUAAUACCGUAUAGGAGAUGCUGCUGCAGGGUGGGGGGUGGAAAGUUUCGGCGGUUGGGGAUGGACGCGCGGCUUAUCAGCUUGUUGGUGGGGUAGUGGCUUACCAAGGCUUUGACGGGUAGCCGGCCUGAGAGGGUGACCGGCCACAUUGGGACUGAGAUACGGCCCAGACUCCUACGGGAGGCAGCAGUGGGGAAUAUUGCACAAUGGGCGGAAGCCUGAUGCAGAAACGCCGCGUGCGGGAUGACGGCCUUCGGGUUGUAAACCGCUUUCGCCUGUGACGAAGCGUGAGUGACGGUAAUGGGUAAAGAAGCACCGGCUAACUACGUG